AAAUUAACCAAAUAUAGCAAAUAGUGGAUUUUAAUUUCAAAUAUCAGUUUUAUAACUUCUUCUUCAAUUACAUUUAUGACAGAUGUCAAAGAUAUAUAUUUUUAAUGGUCCACUGGAUUUUUCCUUUUCAGAUUCCCCAAAGAACACUUCAGUAUCAGUGAGUCCCUCUGGAGACAUAGUGGAGGGCAGUUCAGUGACUCUGACCUGCAACAGCAAAGCCAACCCAGCAGUGGACACAUACACGUGGUUUAAGAAUGGAGCUGAAAUCUCACAGAGAGGAUCAUGGCAGAAUUAUAACAUCAGUAUCAUCAGAUCUGAAGACAGUGGAGAGUAUCACUGUGAAGCAAGUAACAAAGUUGGAACUCAAAAGUCUAAUAAUGUAAUAUUCAACAUUCAUGCAGGGGAAAAUGGUCCAAAGCAACAAAAGAGAUAGGAAGCACACAGCAGGGAGAGGUAAGUCAGUACAUUCAAGAUGUUAGAUGUCUUGUUAGAUGAUUGCACGAAGUUACAUGUCAGAUUCUUCAUCCAGCAGGAUGCAGCAAGCCCUGUGUAUGCCAAUGGCUCAGGAAUGCCCAUGAGACCCACUGAUCAACAGGAUUUGACACUAUACUCCACAGUUCAACCUAAUUCCAAGAGCAAUAAAGAUGUUCUGUAUUCCA
rnacentral:lncRNA from 1 species